GUGAGGAAUAUUGGUCAAUGGGCGAGAGCCUGAACCAGCCAAGUCGCGUGAAGGAUGAAGGUUUUAUGAAUUGUAAACUUCUUUUGCAGGGGAAUAAAGUACGGUACGUGUACCGUUUUGUAUGUACUCUGCGAAUAAGGAUCGGCUAACUCCGUGCCAGCAGCCGCGGUAAUACGGAGGAUCCAAGCGUUAUCCGGAUUUAUUGGGUUUAAAGGGUGCGCAGGCGGGUUGAUAAGUCAGCGGUGAAAGUUUGCAGCUUAACUGUAAAAUUGCCGUUGAAACUGUCGAUCUUGAGUGCAAAUGAGGUAAGCGGAAUGUGUUGUGUAGCGGUGAAAUGCGUAGAGAUCUGGAGGAAUACCGAUGGCGAAGGCAGCCAUCUGGCCUAAUACUGACACUGAGGUGCGAAAGCAUGGGGAGCAAACAGGAUUAGAUACCCUAGUAGUCC
rnacentral:rRNA from 1 species